AAUGUACAGGGAAUGGCAGAGAGAGCAGGAGAUGCAAUAGAUGAUAUUGCUGGAGGUGCAGGUGAAGGAGUCGAUGAUGCGAUAGGGUCGAUGAUGGGUGCCAGUGAGGAGGGUGGUGUUGAAGAGGUAUGGGCAAGUGCGGCAAAAGUAUGAUCUCA